rnacentral:lncRNA from 1 species
CUUCCCCACCAACAUCCCAGGGCCCGAUUUUUAUGGUAAUUAUGUCCUGCUUGUCUCUAUUAUUUUGUCAGCUAAGUAUCCCUAAACAAUAUGGUCUGGUUUUUUGUUUGUUUUUGUUUGUUUGUUUUUUUCAGACGGAGUUUCACUCUGUCACCCAGGCUGGAGUGCAGUGGCAUGAUCUCGGCUCACUGCCACCUUGGCCUCCUGGGUUCAAGGAAUUCUCAGGCCUCAGCCUCAUGAGUAGCUGAGAUUACAGGCGCUGUCCACUGCACCUGGCUAAUUUUUGUAUUUUUAGUAGAGACGGGGUUUUGCCAUGUUGACCAGGCUGGUCUUGAACUCCUGACCUCAGGCGAUCCGCCCGCCUUGAACUCCCAAAGUGCUGGGAUUACAGGUGUGAGCCACCGUGCCCGGCACCUAAACAACAUAGUUUUGAUAUAGACAAGAAGACAAGAAAAUGAUUUGAGGACAGCUUCAAUCGCGGUGUGAAGAAGAAAGCAACAAAACGACCACUGAAAACAAUGCCGGUGGCAAAACAUCCAAAGAAAGGGUCCCAAGUG